CUGGUUGUGCCACUGCCACGAACCACUUGCCUUCGCAAAGCUUCGCACUCGAACUCGUCCAACAGAUCCUCCGCAUCAAGGAACACAUCUUUAAGUUGUUGUAGCCAACUGCGUAGGUCACCGUUACGUGCUUGCUUCUCUUGGGCAUCCACGAGCGUCUUUGAUUAUGGACACGGUGCGUCCAAGUUUCUGCAGAUCCGCUUGAACACCCCACGCCAAGCAAAUCUCCUCAGAAGCAAUGGAGCUGAGCCUUUCAAUGAGUUUGGCUGCCAACGGAAAUGCAAGCUCGGCCAUCUUUCUUUCUUUCUUUCUUGAUGAGG
rnacentral:lncRNA from 1 species